GCGGCAGGCCUAACACAUGCAAGUCGAGCGGCAGCGGGAAAGUAGCUUGCUACUUUUGCCGGCGAGCGGCGGACGGGUGAGUAAUGCCUGGGAAAUUGCCCAGUCGAGGGGGAUAACAGUUGGAAACGACUGCUAAUACCGCAUACGCCCUACGGGGGAAAGCAGGGGACCUUCGGGCCUUGCGCGAUUGGAUAUGCCCAGGUGGGAUUAGCUAGUUGGUGAGGUAAUGGCUCACCAAGGCGACGAUCCCUAGCUGGUCUGAGAGGAUGAUCAGCCACACUGGAACUGAGACACGGUCCAGACUCCUACGGGAGGCAGCAGUGGGGAAUAUUGCACAAUGGGGGAAACCCUGAUGCAGCCAUGCCGCGUGUGUGAAGAAGGCCUUCGGGUUGUAAAGCACUUUCAGCGAGGAGGAAAGGUCAGUAGCUAAUAUCUGCUGGCUGUGACGUUACUCGCAGAAGAAGCACCGGCUAACUCCGUGCCAGC
rnacentral:rRNA from 1 species